GGUGGAUGACUUGGCUCUGGUGCCGAAGAAGGGUGUGACAAGCUGCACAAAGCUUUGGCGAGAUGCACGUAAUCUUUGAACCAAAGAUCCCUUAAUGAGACUUCUCGUAAAAUCCGAAAGGAUGGGGAACGCAGGGAAUUGAAGCGUCUUAGUACCUGCAGGAAAAGAAAUCAAUCGAGAUGCUGUGAGUAAAGGCGAUCGAAAACAGCAAAAGGCAAACUGAAUCCGUUGCAGUAAUGUAAUGGAGAUGUGGUGUGAUGGACUGUUUUUUAGGCCUAACCGAAAGAUUCGAAGUUUUCUGGAAAGAAACGCCGUAGAGAGUGAUAGCCUCGUAGAAGAACGUCGGUGGCCGUAGCAGUAUCCUGAGUACUGCUUAUCGGAUAUUAAGCAGGAAUUUGGGAGGCACUAACUUCCAACCUUAAAUACAACCAGAGACCGAUAGCAAACGAGUACAGCGAUGGAAAGUUGAAAAGAACUCUUGACAGAGAUUCAAAAGAGCCUGAAACCUAAUAGUUAUAGUGUGGCAGUGCUCUACGGAGUUCUGCCGCGCGUUUUGAAUAACGUGCCGGGGAGUGUAUUUGAGUGGCGAGGGUAAUUCUGCAAAGAUGCACCCAAAGCGAAAGCGAUAGCUCGCAAGCAAUGAGGAGCAAGGUAUGAAAGUGCCUUGAGUCACUUGGAUACGACCCGAAGCCAAGCGAUCUAACCCUGGGUAAGGUGAAGCGCGGGUAAAACCGCGUGGAGGCCUGCAGAGGUUCUACGUGCAAGUGUUCUUCUAACCUGGGGCUAGGGGUGAAAAGCCAAUCGAGCUUGGUGAUAGCUGGUUCCUACCGAAGUUGGCCGCAGUCAAGUCUUGAAUGAGACAGCCACGAUUGUAGAGCUACGGAUCAGGGGCUUAGGGAGGGAAACCUCUCGGCCCUUUGUCCAACUCCGAAUGUUUUGGCGUCAUAGACUUCAAGAAAUGGGGAUCCGGGGUAACCUUGGAUUCCGAGAGGGGAACAACCCAGACUGCAGUUAAGGUCCCAAAAUAUCAACUAAGUGUGAAAGGGUGAAAAGUGUCUACAGCCUAAGACAGCGAGGAGGUUGGCUUAGAAGCAGCCAUCCUUUAAAAAGUGCGUAACAGCUUACUUGUCAAGGUUGUAGGCCUUGAAAAUGGACGGGGCUAAGUUGAUUACCGAUACUGUAGACAUCCGAAAGGAUUGUGGUAGGUAGGCGUUCUGCUAGGGCAGAAGCAUUUCCGAGAGGAAGUGUGGACCUGGCAGAAAUGAGAAUCCCGGUCAAAGUAAGAUCAUAGCAGAGUGAGAAUCUCUGCCACCGAAAGGGCAAGGGUUCCUUGACAAUAAAGGUUAGUCAAGGGUUAGUUGGUCCUAACUGAACUCCUAACAGGAGGGAUGGAAAGGGAAACAGGUUAAUAUUCCUGUACUGCUUUAGUAUGUGCGGCAACGCAAGUUCAGUUUCCGACAUUUUGGGCUAGAUCAACAUGAAACGUCUUUUAUGUUAACCAAGAUAAAUCUGGGGAGUAUCGUAAUGAUGAGAUCCAGAUUAAACUUGGGAAUAGUAUUCCUUAUGGAGUAUUUGAUUGAUGCCUGGAGUCCAUGAAAAGGGAACUGAAAAAAAUCUUCAGCAUCCAUACCCAGAACCAGCACAGGUGCCCCUAGGUGAGAAACCUAAGGUGUCAAGGCGAUAAUCCGAUUAAGGGAACUCGGCAAAUUGGCCCCGUGCCUUCGGUAUAAGGGGUCCCUGCGUUUGUUAGCUAAGCUAGCGAUUGCAGGGUGCAAUGACUAAGAUGGUCCGACUGUUUAACAAAAACACAACUUUCUGCUAGCCCGUAAGGGUGCGUACAGAAGGUGACGUCUGCCCAGUGCCAGUACUUCAAACUCCUUUUCAAGGGAGCUAAGAGCUGGUAAACGGCGGGAGUAACUAUAACUCUCUUAAGGUAGCGUAAUACCUUGCCGUUUGAAUGACGGCUUGCAUGAAUGGCGUAACGAGAUUGUCACUGUCCCUAAUCGGAAGCCUCUGAAAACUUAUUCUGGUGCAAAGGCCAGAGAUAUCCAGUGGGAAGCGAAGACCCCGUGAAACUUUACUGUAGCUUGUAGCUGUGAUGUAGAUCCUGAUGUGCAGCGUAGAUGGUAGUUGCUAAAGCUUAGCCGCUAGGUUAAGUGUAGACGACAAUGAGACACCAUCCUUUGGGAUUUACAUUGCUCACUUUAGAAAUAAAGAACAACUAUUGGCGGACAGUUUGGCUGGGGUGGCACGCCGCUAAAAAGAUAUCAGCGGCGCCCAAUGGUUGGCUCAACCCGGUUGGAAAUCGGGUGUUGAGUGCAAGAGCAAAAGCCAGCCUGAUUGGAUUGUCAAAACUAAGCAAUCCAAAGACGAAAGUCUGGUCUAGCGAACCUUUACAUCUCCUUAGUGGGGGGUAGAGAUGACUGAAAAGUUACUCCGGGGAUAACAGAGUUGUCGCGCCCGAGAGCUCCUAUCGACGGCGCGGCUUGCUACAUCGAUGUCGGCUCUUCCUAUCCUGGUCGUGCAGAAGCGGCCAAGGGUGAGGGUGUUCACCUAUUAAAAGGGAUCGUGAGCUGGGUUCAGAACGCUGUGAGGCAGUUUGUUUGAUAUCUACUGGAUAUGUCGAUGUCUGAGGGGAAGGAACUUCUAGUACGAGAGGAACGAAGUCUCGAGGCCUCUGGUCUAACGGUUGUCCGACAGGGCAGGCCGUGCAGCUACGCCUUUUGGGAUAAGUGCUGAAAGCAUCUAAGCACGAAGCCCUCCUCGAAAAGAGACAUCAUAGAACCGCCGCAGAAGACGGCGUUGAUAGAACUGGUGUGUACGCACGAAGGCAACGACGUGUUCAGCACGCAGUUACUAAUAG
rnacentral:rRNA from 1 species